CCUACGGGCGGCAGCAGUGGGGAAUAUUGCACAAUGGGGGAAACCCUGAUGCAGCGACGCCGCGUGAGCGAUGAAGUAUUUCGGUAUGUAAAGCUCUAUCAGCAGGGAAGAAAAUGACGGUACCUGACUAAGAAGCCCCGGCUAACGACGUGCCAGCAGCCGCGGUAAUCCGUAGGGGGCAAGCGUUAGCCGGAUUUACGGGGUGUAAAGGGAGCGUAGACGGUCUUGCAAGCCAGAGGUGAAAGCCCGGGGCCCAACCCCGGGACUGCAUUUGGAACUGUAAGGCUAGAGUGUCGGAGAGGCAGGCGGAAUUCCUAGUGUAGCGGUGAAAUGCGUAGAUAUUAGGAGGAACACCAGUGGCGAAGGCGGCCUGCUGGACGAUGACUGACGUUGAGGCUCGAAAGCGUGGGGAGCAAACAGGAUUAGAUACCCUUGUAGUC
rnacentral:rRNA from 1 species